rnacentral:rRNA from 1 species
UACGUAGGGGGCAAGCGUUGUCCGGAAUCAUUGGGCGUAAAGCGCGUGUAGGCGGUCCGGUAAGUCCGCUGUGAAAGUCGGGGGCUUAACCCUCGGAUGCCGGUGGAUACUGUCGGGCUCGAGUACGGAAGAGGCGAGUGGAAUUCCUGGUAUAGCGGUGAAAUGCGCAGAUAUCAGGAGGAACACCAAUUGCGAAGGCAGCUCGCUGGGACGUUACUGACGCUGAGACGCGAAAGCGUGGGGAGCAAACAGG